rnacentral:lncRNA from 1 species
CUGUACACAUUUUAUCGAAAUCCAUUCAGUAGUUUGUAGGUUUGUUUUCGUUUUGAUAUGGCUAGUUGGCUCUCGUUGUUAUGUCGUACACGGCAAAAGAAAGUUUAUACAUUUUUGGUGAAGGCCAGCUAUAGACCCGGGGGAGGGGUUGGAAACAUAACUGAUUCAAUGUUAUGAACAAUGUAUUAAAAACCAUGACUAAAUCAACGAUAAAUUAUAUCAGCACAAUGCAUUUGCAUCGAUCCAUUGAUCAUUAAAUUUGAAAUAGAGAAAGAGCAUCGAAUAUCUGAAUAAGCAAGAAAAAGAAAACUUCUAACUCAACAUAAACUUUACGGUAAUGGUUUUUUCUUAGUCUGCAUAAAGGAGCAGUUUUUGUGACAAUAAUUUAAUAUUAAAUACUUUAUUUACAGAAGGAUGCAUAAACUGAUAUGGUAUAUCAUUUUUCUUCUUACAUCAUCUUGAUAUCCAUUUCAAAGGUAUAAAUGUGUUGAAAUGGAGCUGUUUAGUUUAUUUAUGUUUUGAUUAUAUUGCGUGUUGGUCAAUAUUGCGGGCAUACUUUUUUUUCUAUUUCCGAUAAUUUCUAAUCUGUUGUCGAAUUUCUGUCAAGUUUUAUUUACGAAAACAUGUUUGUGCAAUCUACUAAAUCAAGGAUAAUGUAUGAAGCAAAAACAACGAAACUCAGCAGUUACGGAUAUCCCUUUCUAAACAUUUAUAUCAGUCUAUACAGUUACUCAUAUCAUCGCAUUUGUUUUUGGACGGAUGAUUUCUCUAUAUUGCGGUCAACUAUGAAAACAAUUGUAAUUCUGAUUCAUAAUUAGUAAUAAGUUUUAAAAAAAGAUACAAAAUACCUAAUAUUAAUACAUAAUGAUCACAGAAUUGACAAAAGAAAUAAAGAUCUGAAACAUCGUCCGCCACCUUUAAGUUCCUGCAGCUACGAAUAUCCCAUUAUCCAAGGCGUUUAUGUUGUGCAGAAAUAAAUAUUUCAUUUCAU